rnacentral:rRNA from 1 species
GUGGGGAAUAUUGCGCAAUGGGGGCAACCCUGACGCAGCAAUACCGCGUGAGUGAAGAAGGUUUUCGGAUCGUAAAACUCUUUUAUUGGGGAAGAAGAAGUGACGGUACCCAAUGAAGAAGUCCCGGCUAACUACGUGCCAGCAGCCGCGGUAAUACGUAGGGGACAAGCGUUGUCCGGAAUCACUGGGCGUAAAGGGCGCGUAGGCGGUUUUAUAAGUCAGAUGUGAAAGGUACCGGCUCAACCGGUGACGUGCAUUUGAAACUGUAAGACUUGAGUACUGGAGAGGCAAGUGGAAUUCCUAGUGUAGCGGUGAAAUGCGUAGAUAUUAGGAGGAACACCGGUGGCGAAGGCGGCUUGCUGGACAGAUACUGACGCUGAGGUGCGAAAGCGUGGGGAGCGAACAGGAUUAGAUACCCCGGUAGUCC